GAAGGUUUCAGCUUCGGGAUCAUUAAAGUAACAUGAUGAUUUCCUACUUUCAUUUCUAACGUGAAAGUAACAUGAUCAUUUCAGAGGAAUAUGUCCACAAGUAUAAAUAGAUCAACGGUACAGGUGUGUAGAUAUCUGACUCUAGUGAAUUAUAUUUGCACAAGAGUACCAGGCCUCCAACUUCAUUAUCAGAAUGAAUUCCUAAUUAGAGAUAAUAUUCAUCUCUAAUCUCCUUUUGUGACUGCAGGUACCUGUCUGGCUUGUUGAGGAUUCAGUUUCACAUACUUGUUGUCAUCAAUUAGUGCAGUAAGCAUGGAAGCGAAAGCAUGCUAUGAAAAGACUGAAUAAUACUGCAAAGGAAAAAUCUUUGAAGGCUAAGAAGUAGUGGUAUUAUGACACCUCCUUAAUAACACCCACUUAAAACUUCCAAGUUACUUUUUUCACACAAGGAUGGCAAAGGGAUUGUGGCACCCCAUUCAGAUACACUAGUAAUUGAAGGCAUAAUUCAAGAUUUCCAGGCGUGAUGCAUAUUGACAGCUCAUGUAAGUUCUAUCAAUAUCCAUAUACUUCAAGCCUUCAACAAUAUGGGGUUACGUCUUGAAUCCUUACAACCAACUGGAACCCAUCUGACAGGAUAGGAAAUCCACCCAAUACCAACAACAAGAACAAUCAAAUUGGGGCAGGAAGGAUUAACAAAAAGAUUUAUGGCUGACUUUUUAUUCUAAAUAUAUCCAUUGCCUACAAUUCCAUCUUUGGAAGACCUAGUUUACAUGAUAUAGUGCAAACUUCAUUGUGUGGCUGGGGAGAAAGAAAAAUUAGAAUAAAAGUAUCAUGAUACUGUAAAGGCAGUUGCUUCGUACAGAUUAUAGGGAGAAAGAAAAUUAGAACAGAAGUAUCAUGAUAUCCACCCCAGUUAGGAAAGACAGGGUCAUCUAACAACAGGGGAGCCGUCACUCCCAAAAAGACAGGUGCUGCAUAUUUUCUCCUUUUAAUAUCAGGUUGACUUCCCAUAGUUGUUUUUGAUCCACUUGGACCAGAAGCAGGAGUCGUAUCGCAUCUUGGGACUUUGCCAUCAAUACAUCAUUCAUACUUGGGAAAGCGAGUAAUUUUUCAAGAAAAUGCGCUAUGAAAACAGCUGUUACCUCAGAGUAACAAAUAGAAAGACAAAAUAUUUGGAAACCAGCUUUUACCUGAUGCUGCAAUAUCGUAGAGUUCAUCAACGUCAAAAAGAUGCAUAUAUACUUUCGAAUGACAUCUGUAAUAUUGAAAGCGCCUGAGCUAAAAGCUUUGAACUUCUUUAUCAAAGUCUCUUCACCUUCUUUCAAGCCUCUUGCCCCACAGAGAGAUAUUUUUGGCACUUCUUGCCCAAUUAGAGCUUGCUAAACCAAAACAGUCCAAAUAAAAGAAAAUGAAGAAUUUGUCUUUCCAGACUUUUAUUGAAGAUGGCGCUCCCCAGAAAACAUUGCAAUUUGGCAAGCCCAAAAGAUACUAGAAAUAUUCGUGACUCCUCUUCCCAUGGUGAAACACAUGACUUAUAACGCAUUGAUUUUGAGAGGGAUGACAUGCACAAUGGAUAUCAGACCAUGCUGACAAAAAUUCUCCAAGCAUUAGGACUCCAAUGACUAGGAGCCAAGUCAUAGGCAUUGAAAACUUGAUAAAAUGCCUUUUGGAGAGGAAAGCGAAUACCUACUUCAGGAUCUUCUUCAUACAUCAUAAUGUUGUUUGGCUGGCAUCUUCAUUUGCUCUAAACAACUCAGAGGGUAAUCAUAACUCAUAUGAAAAUGUGAUGUGGUAAUUUAGUUGAAUUCGCAACAAAUCAACUUUUUUAAGAACACUGGCAAUAUCACUAACUUGAAGAUUAGAUCACUGGACUCCUGCCAUCAGCAUCAAGAAAUGGUUUUUGCUGAUUUUGUGGGUUGUUUGGUUUCUAUUGUAUCCCAAUAUAAAGAGAUCUUUUUUGCAGGAAGCAUUUUAUAAAGAAUGGUAUUAAGAAACCUGUCUGUAAGACACUUGGCCACCUUUUUUCAAAGAUGUGGAAAACAACAAGACAAAAACAGAAGUUGGAACAGCAUUCUUAUCAAUUAUAAGAUGAUACUGUGGGAGGACAUCUGAUAACAGAUGACAAUUUUGAGUUAGUUCAGAAUGCCAAGACCAAGCGCUACCACUGAGUCCGAUUCACGUUUCAGGUAUCAAUUACACCAGGUCAUGAUAAAACUCCUUUGUGAGUUGUGACAUUGACUCCAUACUCAUACAUGAAUGCUAUUAGCAUAUAAAGUCUAGAAGAUUCGUAUCCUUUUUCUCAUCAGGAUUAGACAACAACUAGGAUAAGGACUUCAAACUGAGUUAUAUACCCAUCACAUCGAUACAAAGUAUGUAAAUAUCUUACUCUAUUGAAUAAUAUUUGCACAAGAGUUCCAGACCUCUCAAGCAUCAAAGUGGGCUCCUAAAUAGAGCAAGGAUUCCUGUCUAAUCUCCUUUUGUGACUGUAGGUACCUGUCAAGCUUGUUGAGAAUUCAGUUUCGCAUACCCUUUGUUAUAAACAACAUAGUGAUGGCCAAUGGAAAAUCACAGUGGCUCCAAGGGUUGCCAAAGGUAUAAGGAUGUCACGUUGUCAGAAUAGGAAAUAAUGGAUGUGAUACAUAGAUUAUUAGAGUUUGUAAGCAUUUUAAUUGAGUUGAAGGCUUGAAGCAAUGUGGUAUGGUAUUAGUCUAAUGAAUAGUUAUAAAAG
rnacentral:misc_RNA from 1 species